UUAUUCGCGGAAUACAAUAUUCAAUAAAAAUUGGGAAUGCAUUUUUGGUUAUUUUAUUAAGAAAUCGCUGACAAAGUAUCCUAAUUCCCGUGGUUCAUACUUUGAAAAGAUACCAGGAAUAAACUUGAACAGAGUCAACGACGCAUGAGCUGGUUUCCGAACGUGGUCCAAUCAAAAUAAGAAUGUGAAUAAUAUCCCUUGUCUGCGGCCCAAUUGGCCGGGGGGACAUUAACCUUUCAAGGAGCCAGAGAACGUCUCACCGAAGAUGGCGCCAAAAGUACUCCUGCUGUAGUGACGAACUUUUGCGGGAUUACAGGAAGGAAGGGAAAGAGGGAUAUCACUCACUAUAAACAACUCACCAAUUCACCAAAAAAAAUGGCUUAAUUAAUAACAAUAAUACAAUAGAAUAAACAAUAGAACAAAUUCUCGCGCUUUUUCGCGCGCGCAAAUGUGCAACAUUAUUUUGGUUCAAAAAUGCCAAGCACAUGUGAUUCCAGGAUUGUUUUAAUUGAUGGAUGCAGGGGCUCAUAUGAAUCAGGCGACUUCAAAGGGAGCGAAAAAGGCCUGACAUUAACACAGGUUCGAUUCCGAGGUCAUUUUUGUGAGCCUGUGAAUUGGGAAGAUGAAGACCCUCAGCUUAGUUUAUAAUGACGCUACCUGAAGUUCAAGAUCGCGGGCUCGUGGUCCCAGGCUUCUUCUCAUAGGCCAAGGCGACAAAGCGCGAAAAGCACCCUGGGUAGGAGAACAAACAUCUGAUACGAAAAUUACGUACGGUAUCUUUAAUCUAAAAAUGUAUUAAACGAUAGAACUACAGACUUAUGCCCAAUCAUAAUUGAUUCGGCGAUAACUGUACUGCUAAGCAUUUGAUGAUUUCAAAAGUUCUUAAA